UACAUUUAUUUGUUUCUAAUCUGCCUAAUUAAAUCAGCAAUGUGGUAUCUAGCGGCCAUUAAAAAUGUUUGGUUCGUUUUUUGUUUUUUUUUUUUCAGGGCCUGGCUUAGAAAGUAUUUCAUGGUCAGUGGAAAAAAAUGAGGAAGAGGAGGGUGUGGUUGCUGCUUAGAGGAUCUGGCCCUGCAAACGGGCUCUGGCUUGUGGAGAUGCGGUCCUUCGACGUGACCAGAUGAAGACUCCUUAUAGCCGCCCAUUGUUGCUGCCGGGGCGCUGGCAGCCGGGGGGCAGUUUGUGGCACGGGCGGAGGAGCGGGAGAAGCCGCCGCCGCCGCCGGUUGCUAGGUAAGGACCGCCUUCCCCUCCUCUCCCCGGGCCUUGUGCGAGGGCCAGACGUGCCACCCCGGCUCCCUCAAGUGCCUUCUUGCCUGCCUUUUCCAGGAGACCCAGGAGCUGCAAGGUGAACGCCGACCACCGCCGCCGCUCCCCGCCCGCCGUGUGGUGUCCCCGCCGCCGUGUGGUGUCCCCGCCGCCGUGUGGUGUCCCCCCGCCGUGUGUCCCCCCCCGCCGCCGCCACGGCCUGAGCGGUGAGUCCUUGCCCCAGGAGGAAAAAUUAAGUUGCAGAAAACUACGUCGGGUAUCGGGCAAACCGGCUCACGUCUCCCCAUUAAUUUAUGAUUAACUCGAGGUUUGAGGCUUGGUUGAGGGAGCGUGGCUCGCUGGCUGGUAGGGAUGUGAUAUACUCAUAUUUGCUAUUGUUGCUGGUUUUUUAGCUUCUCUUCUCCCUAUCAAGUCUGCCCCUCCCUUCGCUAGUCUGUUUAAAAUCGGCAAGCUUCAUUUUCUUAGCAGACAAAGGUCGAUCACAGCUUUUAUUUCUGAAUGCAAAUGUUCUAGGACUUGUGCCAGUCUUGCCUUCAUUGAUUACAAUAUAGCUUUUUUCUUGAAUGGCAUUUCCCCCCCUUCGCCUUUUUUUUUUUUUUAAAAAAAAAAAUAGAAGGAAGCUCAAGAAAAGAAACAAAGUUGGGCGGUGCAAGUUUUUAUAUUUAUUUAAUAUUUCAGUAGGUCUGAAACAUUAUUAAAUGUCCAUGUGCGGAGCAGUUCUAACGCAGCUGCUAACAAGUACGUAGGGGUUUAUGCCAUUUGUGUGUGUAUACACCAGGGUUCCUGUUUGCACUUCUCAACUAAUAUUUUCUAAGGUGACCGUGUGAUGAUCUUCAGUAAUUGUAUCUCAUUACAAUUACGUUUUCCUGAUUGUCUGAGCACCCUGAAUUUGGACAUGAAUAUUUUCAGAGUUCGUAUUUAAAUUUUAUAAUACCUGGCAUUGAUCGGGAUUAGUUUAUUAUUACCAUUUUUGUCAUAUAUAUUUAAAAUACUAUUUUUGAUGGCCUUUAAAGGUCCAUAAGUGCCGUAAGUGUAUUUUCUUCUUUAUCUUUUACGUGCGCACACGAGCACAUGCUCACGCAC
rnacentral:lncRNA from 1 species